rnacentral:rRNA from 1 species
GAUUCUGGCUCAGGAUGAACGCUAGCGGCAGGCUAACACAUGCAAGUCGAGGGGCAGCGCGGUUGUAGCAAUACAACUGGCGGCGACCGGCGAAAGGGUGCGUAACGCGUGAGCGACAUGCCCGUCACCGGGGUAUAACCGAUGGAAACGUCGACUAAUCCCCCAUAACAUCAGAGGAGGCAUCUCCUUUGGUUGGAAUUCACGGAGGUGACGGAUUGGCUCGCGUCUGAUUAGCUAGUCGGCGGGGUAACGGCCCACCGAGGCUACGAUCAGUAGGGGUUCUGAGAGGAAGGUCCCCCACAAUGGAACUGAGACACGGUCCAUACUCCUACGGGAGGCAGCAGUGAGGAAUAUUGGUCAAUGGGCGGAAGCCUGAACCAGCCAUGCCGCGUGCAGGACGACGGCCCCUAUGGGUUGUAAACUGCUUUUGCUGCGGAGCAAUAAGGGCCUCGAGCAGGUCCGAUGAGAGUACGCAGCGAAUAAGCAUCGGCUAACUCCGUGCCAGCAGCCGC